CGACCGGCGCACGGGUGAGUAACGCGUAUGCAGCCUGCCCGAUACCGGGGUAUAGCCCAUGGAAACGUGGAUUAACACCCCAUAGUACUUUUAUCCUGCCUGGGAUGUGAGUUAAAUGUUCAAGGUAUCGGAUGGGCAUGCGUCCUAUUAGUUAGUUGGCGGGGUAACAGCCCACCAAGACGAUGAUAGGUAGGGGUUCUGAGAGGAAGGUCCCCCACAUUGGAACUGAGACACGGUCCAA
rnacentral:rRNA from 1 species